CGGACGGGUGAGUAACACGUGGAUAACCUACCUAUAAGACUGGGAUAACCUCGGGAAACCGGAGCUAAUACCGGAUAAUAUUUUGAACCGCAUGGUUCAAAAGUGAAAGACGGUCUUGCUGUCACUUAUCGAUGGAUCCGCGCUGCAUUAGCUAGUUGGUAAGGUAACGGCUUACCAAGGCAACGAUGCAUAGCCGACCUGAGAGGGUGAUCGGCCACACUGGAACUGAGACACGGUCCAG
rnacentral:rRNA from 1 species